CAGUCGCCACGGGAAUACGAAGGGUGCAAGCGUUAAUCGGAAUUACUGGGCGUAAAGCGUGCGUAGGCGGUUCGUUAAGUCUGUUGUGAAAGCCCCGGGCUCAACCUGGGAAUGGCAAUGGAUACUGGCGAGCUAGAGUGUGUCAGAGGAUGGUGGAAUUCCCGGUGUAGCGGUGAAAUGCGUAGAGAUCGGGAGGAACAUCAGUGGCGAAGGCGGCCAUCUGGGACAACACUGACGCUGAGGCACGAAAGCGUGGGGAGCAAACAGGAUUAGAUACCCGCGUAGUCCCUGUCUCUUAUAC
rnacentral:rRNA from 1 species